rnacentral:tRNA from 1 species
UGGGGUGUAGCUUAGUGGUAGAGCACUUCCUAGAAUGCAUGAGGUCCUGGGUUUGAUCCCCAGCACUGCAA